AGCGAACGCUGGCGGCGGGCCUAACACAUGCAAGUCGAACGGAUCCUUCGGGAUUAGUGGCGGACGGGUGAGUAACACGUGGGAACGUGCCCUUUGGUUCGGAACAACUCAGGGAAACUUGAGCUAAUACCGGAUGUGCCCUUCGGGGGAAAGAUUUAUCGCCAUUGGAGCGGCCCGCGUCUGAUUAGCUAGUUGGUGAGGUAACGGCCCACCAAGGCGACGAUCAGUAGCUGGUCUGAGAGGAUGAUCAGCCACACUGGGACUGAGACACGGCCCAGACUCCUACGGGAGGCAGCAGUGGGGAAUCUUGCGCAAUGGGCGAAAGCCUGACGCAGCCAUGCCGCGUGAAUGAUGAAGGUCUUAGGAUUGUAAAAUUCUUUCAGCGGGGACGAUAAUGACGGUACCCGCAGAAGAAGCUCCGGCUAACUUCGUG
rnacentral:rRNA from 1 species